CGUUUGUUUUGUCAAAAAGAUAUCUUGCGGUAGCUAGCAACCUUAAUGCUUGCUACUCUUUCUGUAGUUACCCAAGUUGCAUCUUGAAAAUGGUGGAGUUAUUACCUGCUCUAGCACAGAGUUGUUCAGAUGGAGUUUUUUAAACAGCUUGAAGCAAAGAUUUAGUUCAAGCUGAUUUAAGGACUAUAAUCAUGAAAGGAUGAUGCUAUGAGCUGUUCAUUUGCUUGCACAACUAUAUUAAUGGAAUGUCUAGAGCUUACAUGCAAUUUAGAAUCUCACAAGAGAUGGAGAUUUUGAUUGCAAAUUUGUAUCAGGCCAGAAGUCUCUGAGUUUGAGCUUUGGAUUCUGCAAUAAGAGAGAAUGAAUCGGUGAACCAAUUCUAUCUAUGUUGCUUUAUUUAAUUGACUCCUUAUCUAUGUUGUGUUAUUUGAGGGGGUUUUUUCAUCAACAAGUGGUUUAGUUAGUAUAGGUUGGGUGUAUGGGGUUGGACCUGCUGGUCCUGGGUUUAAACCACUGUUGGUUUUUCCUCCUCAUCUUUUCUUCUUAUUAGGCUAAUACAUGUUGUUCUCUACAUUUUGUAACGAAUUACUUGCACAAAUUUAAUCAUCAAAAUCAUGCAAGGAUGAUGCUCAAUUGCUUACCCAGACAUUCUAAUUGAAAUGGAGGUUUAGAUUGAAAAUUUAUGUGAA